rnacentral:rRNA from 1 species
CAGCAGCCGCGGUAAUACGGAGGGGGCUAGCGUUGUUCGGAAUUACUGGGCGUAAAGCGCACGUAGGCGGCUUGGUAAGUUAGAGGUGAAAGCCCGGAGCUCAACUCCGGUAUUGCCUUUAAGACUGCCGAGCUAGCAGGUGAGAGAGGUAAGUGGAAUUCCGAGUGUAGAGGUGAAAUUCGUAGAUAUUCGGAAGAACACCAGUGGCGAAGGCGGCUUACUGGCUCAUACUGGACGCUGAGGUGCGAAAGCGUGGGGAGCAAACAGGAUUAGAUACCCCUGUAGUCCCUGUCUCUUAUAC